GACGAACGCUGGCGGCGUGCUUAACACAUGCAAGUCGAACGGAAAGGCCCUGCUUUUGUGGGGUGCUCGAGUGGCGAACGGGUGAGUAACACGUGAGUAACCUGCCCUUGACUUUGGGAUAACUUCAGGAAACUGGGGCUAAUACCGGAUAGGAGCUCCUGCUGCAUGGUGGGGGUUGGAAAGUUUCGGCGGUUGGGGAUGGACUCGCGGCUUAUCAGCUUGUUGGUGGGGUAGUGGCUUACCAAGGCUUUGACGGGUAGCCGGCCUGAGAGGGUGACCGGCCACAUUGGGACUGAGAUACGGACCAGACUCCUACGGGAGGCAGCAGUGGAGAAUAUUGCACAAUGGGCGGAAGCCUGAUGCAGCAACGCCGCGUGCGGGAUGACGGCCUUCGGGUUGUAAACCGCUUUCGACUGUGACGAAGCGUGAGUGACGGUAAUGGGUAAAGAAGCACCGGCUAACUACGUG
rnacentral:rRNA from 1 species